rnacentral:rRNA from 1 species
UACGGAGGGGGCUAGCGUUGUUCGGAAUUACUGGGCGUAAAGCGUACGUAGGCGGACUGAUCAGUUGGGGGUGAAAUCCCAGGGCUUAACCCUGGAACUGCCUUCAAUACUGUCAGUCUUGAGUUUGGGAGAGGUGAGUGGAAUUCCUAGUGUAGAGGUGAAAUUCAUAGAUAUUAGGAGGAACACCAGUGGCGAAGGCGGCUCACUGGCCCAUUACUGACGCUGAGGUACGAAAGCGUGGGGAGCAAACAGGAUUAGAUACCCCAGUAGUCC